rnacentral:rRNA from 1 species
UGGGGAAUUUUGGACAAUGGGCGCAAGCCUGAUCCAGCCAUGCCGCGUGCGGGAAGAAGGCCUUCGGGUUGUAAACCGCUUUUGUCAGGGAAGAAAUCUUCUGAGUUAAUACCUCGGGAGGAUGACGGUACCUGAAGAAUAAGCACCGGCUAACUACGUGCCAGCAGCCGCGGUAAUACGUAGGGUGCAAGCGUUAAUCGGAAUUGCUGGGCGUAAAGCGUGCGCGGGCGGUUUUGUAAGACAGAGGUGAAAUCCCCGGGCUCAACCUGGGAACUGCCUUUGUGACUGCAAGGCUUGAGUGCGGCAGAGGGGGAUGGAAUUCCGCGUGUAGCAGUGAAAUGCGUAGAUAUGCGGAGGAACACCGAUGGCGAAGGCAAUCCCCUGGGCCUGCACUGACGCUCAUGCACGAAAGCGUGGGGAGCAAACAGGAUUAGAUACCCUGGUAGUCCACGCCCUAAACGACGUCAACUGGUUGUUGGGAAGGUUCCUUCUCAGUAACGUAGCUAACGCGUGAAGUUGACCGCCUGGGGAGUACGGCCGCAAGGUUGAAACUCAAAUGAAUUGACGGGGU